rfam:Ictidomys tridecemlineatus contig103479, whole genome shotgun sequence.
GUAUAGCUCAGUGGUAGAGCACUUGUAUAGCAUGCAUGAGGCCCUGGGUUUGAUCCCCAGCAC